rnacentral:rRNA from 1 species
AGUUCGAUCAUGGCUCAGAUUGAACGCUGGCGGAUGCUUUACACAUGCAAGUCGAACGGCAGCACGGACUGGUCUGGUGGCGAGUGGCGAACGGGUGAGUAAUGUAUCGGAACGUGUCGAAAGAGUAGCGGGGGAUAAUCACGGCGAAAGUAUGAAGUAAUACUGGGCAUACGGGCCUCUUCGGGGGAAAGCGGGGACCUCGGGCCUCGCACUAUUAGAGCGGCCGAUAUCGGAUUAGCUAGUUGGUGGGGUAAGACCGUCACAGGGCGACGAUCCGUAGCUGGUUUGAGAGGACGACCAGCCACACUGGGACUGGAGACACGGCCCAGACUCCUACGGGAGGCAGCAGUGGGGAAUUUUGACAAUGGGGGAAACCCUGAUCCAGCCAUCCCGCGUGUGCGAUGAAGGCCUUCGGGUUGUAAAGCACUUGGCAGGAAAGAAACGGCACGGAUAAUACCCCGUGCAACUGACGGUACCUGCAGGAAUAAGCACCGGCUAACUACGUGCCAGCAGCCGCGGUAAUACGUAGGGUGCAAGCGUUAAUCGGAAUUACUGGGCGUAAAGCGUGCGCAGGCGGUUCGGAAAGAAAGAUGUGAAAUCCCAGAGCUUAACUUUGGAACUGCAUUUUUAACUACCGAGCUAGAGUGUCAGAGGGAGUGGUGGAAAUCGCGUGUAGCAGUGAAAUGCGUAGAGGUGGAGGAACACCGGAUGGCGUGGCGCAGCCUCCUGGGAUAACACUGACGCUCAUGCACGAAAGCGUGGGGAGCAAACAGGAUUAGAUACCCUGGUAGUCCACGUCCUAAACGAUGUCAUCUAGCUGCUGGGGCCUUCGCCUUGGUAGCGCAGCUAACGCGUGAAGUUGACCGCCUGGGGAGUACGGUCGCAAGAUUAAAACUCAAAGGAAUUGACGGGACCACGUUGUGGAUGAUGUGAUUAAUUCGAUGCAACGCGAAAACCCUACCUAAAUUCUUGACAUGUCUGGAAUCCUGAAGAGAUUUGGGAGUGCUCGCAAGAGAACCGAACACAGGUGCUGCAUGGCUGUCGUCAGCUCGUGUCGUGAGAUGUUGGGUUAAGUCCCGCAACGAGCGCAACCCUUGUCAUUAGUUGCUACGAAAGGGCACUUGUCGAGACCGUUGGCACAGAAAUCCUGGAGGAAGGUGGGGAUGACGUCAAGUCCUCAUGGCCCUUAUGGGUAGGGUCACACGUCAUACAAUGGUCGGGACAGAGGGUCGCCAACCCGCGAGGGGGAGCCAAUCCCAGAAACCCGAUCGUAGUCCGGAUCGCAGUCUGCAACUCGACUGCGUGAAGUCGGAAUCGCUAGCAAUCGCGGAUCAGCAUGUCGCGGUGAAUACGUUCCCGGGUCUUGUACACACCGCCCGUCACACCAUGGGGAGUGGGCUGCACAGAAGUAGUUAGCCUAACCGUAAGGAGGGCGAUUACCACGGUAGGAUUCAUGACUGGGGUGAAGUCGUAACAAGGUAG